rnacentral:lncRNA from 1 species
GAAAAGCCACAACCAGUAAUAAAAAAUCUAAGUCAUAAUUAGAUUGAGAAGAAGGGUAAGAUUCAUUAGGAACCAUGUAUGUUCAUUCGUGACCUAAUGUGUUAUGUGAUGUUAAAAUUUACUAUUGAGACUUAAAGACUUAAACGAGAACAUGUUAUUAACUGUAGCAGACGCUAAAGGCAAGUAUUCUAACCCUUGUUCCAAUUCAAUUUGGACAAUCUUUUUAUUCAUGUAUCCUUACGCAUGAAGUCUUGUAUGAUGAAG